ACUCCUACGGGCAGGCAGGCAGGAGUGGGGAAAUAUUGGGCACGAAUGGGGGAACCCUGAUGCAGCCAUGCCGCGUGUGUGAAGAAGGCCUUCGGGUUGUAAAGCACUUUCAGUAGGGAGGAAGGUAGUGUAGUUAACACCUGCACUAUUUGACGUUACCUACAGAAGAAGCACCGGCUAACUCCGUGCCAGCAGCCGCGGUAAUACGGAGGGUGCGAGCGUUAAUCGGAAUUACUGGGCGUAAAGCGCAUGCAGGCGGCCUGUUAAGUCAGAUGUGAAAGCCCGGGGCUUAACCUCGGAAUUGCAUUUUGAAACUGGCAGGCUAGAGUCUUGUAGAGGGGGGUAGAAUUUCAGGUGUAGCGGUGAAA
rnacentral:rRNA from 1 species